UACGUAGGUGACCAGCGUUGUCCGGAUUUACUGGGCGUAAAGAGCGCGCAGGCGGUCGUUCAAGUCGAGUGUGAAAGCCCCCGGCUCAACUGGGGAGGGUCACUCGAUACUGAUCGACUUGAAGGCAGGAGAGGGAAGCGGAAUUCCCGGUGUAGUGGUGAAAUGCGCAGAUAUCGGGAGGAACACCCGUAGCGAAGGCGGCACUCUGGGCCGUGACUGACGCUGAGGAGCGAAAGCGUGGGGAGCAAACAGG
rnacentral:rRNA from 1 species